GGAACUAUUGAUACAGGCAGCGGCUUGGAAGUUCUCCAGAGAAUCACGCUGAGUGAAACAGAAAAGGCCAGUCCCAGAAGUUCACAUACUAUACAGGAAAUGAGGCCGAGACCUAGCAGCCAAUCCACGUGCUUGUGAGGCAGCUGGUGCCCAGCGCUCCGGGGAAACUUCCAGAAUGGGAGCUCCUGCCAGCAAGAGCCCUUGGCAGCUCUCAGCGCAGUCCCUGGAGCAGCGGACUUGAGGGAGAAACCACGUGCCUCAGACGAACACACAGUAACGCUCGAAAAGGAACAACGUGGAACGCCCGGCUCCUCUCAUCGACCUCAGCACCUCUCCGGGCCACGCCACACUCCCACUAACCUUUCCAGAGAGUUCCGGAUUCUCGAUCUUCUCCCAACGCUUUUCAGGGGCCUUGGCUGAUCCCCCAGGAAACUGUGGAGCAGGAGUGUCCUUCAGAGUCCUCCGGAACGGAAGCAAGGAGACGUCCUCUGUAUCCCUGAAUCAACCAACUGGAUCCAGGAUGCUGAUCGCUGCCCACCCCCCUCCACAAAGAGUGGCAAUCUGGUGCACACAACCCAUCACUCAAAUACUUCUCUUGAAAUUCCUCAAAGAUCUCCUGAUUUCCAAAUCUAAACCUA